UACAGAGGGGGCUAGCGUUGUUCGGAAUUACUGGGCGUAAAGCGCGCGUAGGCGGUGCUGCAAGUUAGGAGUGAAAUCCCGGGGCUUAACCUCGGAACUGCUCUUAAGACUGCAGUACUUGAUGAUGGUAGGGGGUGGUGGAAUUCCUAGUGUAGAGGUGAAAUUCGUAGAUAUUAGGAGGAACACCAGAGGCGAAGGCGGCCACCUGGACCAUUUAUGACGCUAAAGCGCGAAAGCGUGGGGAGCAAACAGG
rnacentral:rRNA from 1 species